CAGCAGCCGCGGUAAUACGGAGGGUGCAAGCGUUAAUCGGAUUUACUGGGCGUAAAGCGUGCGUAGGCGGCUUUUUAAGUCGGAUGUGAAAUCCCUGAGCUUAACUUAGGAAUUGCAUUCGAUACUGGGAAGCUAGAGUAUGGGAGAGGAUGGUAGAAUUCCAGGUGUAGCGGUGAAAUGCGUAGAGAUCUGGAGGAAUACCGAUGGCGAAGGCAGCCAUCUGGCCUAAUACUGACGCUGAGGUACGAAAGCAUGGGGAGCAAACAGGAUUAGAUACCCCCGUAGUCCCUGUCUCUUAUAC
rnacentral:rRNA from 1 species